rnacentral:tRNA from 1 species
AAGAUUUUAAGUUAUUAAACUAUUAACCUUCAAAGUUAAAAAUAUAAAUUUAUAAAUUUAUAAAUCUUA